CUGCUAAGUGUCUGUUUCAGCGUGAACACUGAAGACAGGAGUCCCCAGGAGUGAAAGUCCAGUGGUUCUGAACCACAUCUUGGGAUCUGGCUCCGCCCUCCGCCUGCCUUUGGGCACGCACCUUGACUUCUGAAGCUGUUUGUCUCUGCAAGGAUGGGGAUGGCUGAACAGAGAUGGCACUGGGGAAGCUCAGCAAGUAUCUGGUGUGACCAGUGUCAUGAACACUGGUGUUCAUUGGGACAAGCAGAAGAAAACUGACCAAUGGCUGGAAUAUCAACUAGAUGUCAGCCUGGCCUCUUGGCCUUGAGACUCAACCAAGGCUUGCCCUGGACCCCUGGCCUCCUGGCCUCGUUGUCACAAAUACUGGGAUUACAAGGUAAGGCAAGUUACCUGAAGUUAUAGUCAGCCCUCCUCUGGAAUGUGAGCCUGAGUCUCCUCGGCCUGCCCUUUCCAUGGACCUUUCUUUGAGGUACCUUGGUACCCCAGGGGAAAUGUAGAGAAGAUGUUUUGCAGGUUGGAACCCCUUCCGUUUCUACCAUUACAAAGGGGUUUAAGCCGGGCCCCUUUAAUGCCCAGGUCUUGCUUCUCUCCUAUCCCUCAUUUCCUACUAUCCUGACAGCUGUGGUCAGAACUGAGCUGUCCUCAGUCAUGAACAGGGAGGAAAGGAGACAGACAGCUGUGUGGGUAGCUUGGACAGGCAAGAAGCUCUCUCCAGUUUCUGUCCACACUUCUGUCACCAUGUCUGACGUCUGGACCCAGAGCUCAUUCAGUAUAAGGAGAACCGGUUGGCUAAGCCCACUGGCCUGACAGUCUCAGGAAUUAACUUUCUCUCAGGCCCCUCCCACCUCUCUGGGCUGUAAUCACACUCACCAGACAGCAGCCAGUGUAGCCUCUGCACAUAGCACCUCAUCACCUUCUCCAAGCCUGUGAUGUACGUCUCCAUCUCCCGCAGCGUCCACUGGAUGUGUCUCACUACUCCCUGGGGAAGGCAAGCGGAGGCUAGUCUAUCAGUGUUGGGUCAUAGUCUUAGCACCCCUAAAAUAGUUGAUGCCAUUAUAAUCUGCAAUCAUUAACGUAUUUUUCUGUAUAUAUGUUCAUUUGUUUGCGUGCCUACAUUUGAAACAGGGUCUCACUACGUGGUUCAGGUUGGCCUUGAACUCAUCAGCUUCUUUCUUCUGCCUCCUGAGUCCUGGGACUAUGGCAGAGACCAUCAUAUUUGGACCAGUUUUGUUUAUUGAAAAGUUUUUUCUUUUAUUACUAGAUUGAAUGGUUCUGCGAAGGAAAGGGGAGUGGGAUAAUGGUGGAAGACAAGGGAGUCACUGGAAUAGUAAAAACCACGCCAUCUCCAAGUUUUAAAAUAAGAAAUCCUUGGUGAAAGGCUGGAGGGUCCAUACAUCUCAAACAGAAAGAUGAUCUCGGACAGAGAGGGGUCAGCAUGUGAAAACAACACCAAGUUCUUUUAGUGGAUAGUCCUUUCGGCUAUUUUUAAUUUCCUCUGAUGUUGAUAACAUGGUAUCAAAGGGCAAAGAGGAAAGGAAGCCAAUGUUUACCUUGUACCUAAAGCACUUACUGCAUUCUCAGAACAAUGAGAAAAAUACCUCCUGACUAGAAAGCACAGAGAGGGGACAUGUUCCCUCCUGCUGUCCUAACAGAGCCAUGACCAGUGUCAGGUACUCUAGUUCUCUAGUUGUUUGAAUGAGAAUGCCCCACCCCAUGGGCUCUAAGGAUUAGGAGGUUGUGACCUUGUUGGUCUAUCAGUGAAGUGGGCUUUGAUGUUUCAAAAACCCAUGCCAUUCCUAAUUAGCUCUCUCUGCCUCAUGCCUGUGGAUAGGAUGGAAACUCUCAGCUACGGCUCUACUGCCUGCCUGCCUACAUGCUGCCAUACUUCCCACCUCAAAGGUCACGGACUGUCGCCCUCUGAAACUGUAAGCCCAAAUAGACCCUUUCCCCUAAAAGUUGCCUUUGUCACAGUUUCUCAUCACGUUGAUGGAAAAGAGACAGGUACCAGUACUUUGGAGUGACUACUUCAGCCCUGGCCUGGGUGCUUGAUACCUGCUUCUAGGCCUUACCAUCUACUCCAGAGUGUGGUCUCAGACCACAGGGGAUUGGCUUUUCUUUUUAAAGUCAGAAUUCUAUAUUUUCCACCAACUGAGGGAUGUCCUGCUUUAGGGAGUGAGGCUAGACAAGCAGAAAUGGAAGUCGGUGUUACCUGAUCUUCUCUCUGCCACUAGCAGCUGACAGAAGGUAAGAAGGGAAUGGGGGAUGGAGAGCGUCAUCACACUGUGACUUACAUUGAUCUCUAUACUGGGGAAGAGACUGCAGUGUCUGGCCAGUGCCGACCCCCGUACUGACUUUUGGUAUCUACAGUUGGGACCGAGGCAUUUGGAGAGCUCCAGUUUCAGUCUCUUCAGCCCGCAAGUGGCUGUCCACUGUGAAAUAAAACACUGUCAGGCCAAAAUGAGUGGUUUGUCUUAUUUAUUUAUUUAUUUAUUUAUUUAUUUAUUUAUUUAUUUAUUUGAGACAGCUCGGGUCCUCUCCAUUGCCCUGGUUGCCGUGGAACUUGCUUAUGUAGACCAGGCUGGCUUUGAACUCACAGAGAUCCACUUGCCUCUGUCUCCUCGGUGCUGGGAUUAAGUGUGCACCACUGGGCCCGGCUUGCUUUUGUUUGACACAGUGAGACUAAAUGUAGUGAUAUGGCUUCCCAAGGCCACCAGUGAGGAGGAAAGCAGACUUGCUUCUGAACUUAACAUUAUUACCCCAUGUGCACGGUAAGCAGGCAUUCUUAACAUGUUUGGCUUCUUCCAAGUGUGCCCACCCUCCUGGAAGAUAUGGUUGGUAGAAGAAAUUACUAAGGGGCACUUGCUGAUAUGCACAACUGAAUACCUCUUGACUUGAGCAUAGAGUGUCCUUCCUGGGCAGCUCAAUGGAAGAAUUAAUCCUUCUGAUGGGUUUUCCUUGACUGUACCUCUUGUACACAGAACCUACAGAAACACAGCAGUGUUACCAUGGAUAUGUUUCUCCCCUUUCCCCUUUCCCAUGUCAGUUUCCCUGCAAGUCAAAUUCUCUGCAGACUAUUUAGGUAUAAUCUGCUGAAGAGGUAGAAGGUAAAUCAUGAGACGGAGUGGGCUGCUCAGGGUUCCCUUUCUCUAUUUAGCAAGGAGUCCAGCUGGGACCGAUACUGUGAUGGCUAAUCUUCCUUGUCAAAUCGACAGGCUUUAGAACCACCUGGAAGACAUGGCCCUGCCUGACGUUUUGCGGGAGCUUCCAGGGAGGCUUGAGGAGGGAAGACCCACUCGAAUGAGCUGACACCACAGCAUGGGCUGAGCUUCUGGAGGACAUAAAGGAAAAGGGGACAAACACCAGCCUUCCUUUUUCUCUGCUUCCUGACUGCAGGCCCAGUGUGGCCAGCUGCCUUGUGUCCCUGCUGCCAUAUCUGACAGUUUCUCCCUCUACUUCCCCACCUGGAUAUCUCAUCAAAUUGAGAGCCCAAAUAAAGCCUUUAGUUGC